AUCUCUCCUCACCCACUCACUACGCCUCUGACCACCUAGCAACACCAUAGCGCCACCACUCCUCCUCCACUUCCUCUUUCCUUCUUCUUCUUUUCUUUCUUUUCUUUCCUUUCCUUUUCUUUUCUUUUCUUUUCUUUCUUUCUCCUUCCUUCUUCCCUACUGUUGUGCUGCGCCUGCAAAGUUGGAGCAGAUCGACCACCGCUCGCCGCCGCAAGUCGCACCUCCACAGAGCAGCUCCACGUCGCGCCGGCAAGCUCAGAAAGUGACUGCUGCUCCUCUGUCGCGCCUGCAGCAGCACCACAGCCCUGUCAAGGCGCCACUGCCACUGCUGCCGCUCCAGCACGUCGAUCGGUCGCCUCCGCUGGCGUCACAGCAGCUCUGCCGCUGCUCCAGUGCACCUCCGGCCACCAGCCUCCACCUGCUCUUCAUUCCGGCACGUGUAGCCUCCGUUUCCGGUCAAAUAAUUCCAGCAGCUAUAUUUUUUUUUAGAUCGCCCGGGUCCAUCUAGUGCUCCUCCAGGACAGAAUCAAAGUUAGGAUUUCGCUCUCCAUCACUGUAGUAGGAAAUUGCUGAUCCAACUGAAGCUCUGUCAUUUUCUUCGCGGAGCUACAAAAGUAAACUUAUAACUUUUGUUAUUAUAAGUUGAGAAUUGUAUUAUUAAUUUCAUAUACUACUCUAGUUUCAAAUUAUUGUUGAACUCCGCAGUUGUAGGGUGUCUAUUUUCAAAUGGGCUUACCGUAAGUGUUACCUUAUAUAUGGUUUGUGGUGUUAUUAGGUGCAGGUGAAUCAGUAUGCCAUAUUAUGAAUGUGAUUGAUUAUGAUUAGGCCCAAAACUAAACUUGCUUGUGAUAAUUAAAAUUGGGCCGAAUCAUGUGACAUUUAUAUCCUAACUUGUAUGGGCCUACUAUUCCUAUUAAAUAGUGUCCUAUGCUUGAGUUGA